rnacentral:lncRNA from 1 species
AUCAUCGAGAGAAAAAGAAAAAAAAAUUAUAUAUAAAUAAACUUGAAGAUUCAAAAGAAGCACGAGCCAAAGAAGGACACUCGGUUGAAAAAUAGAAAAAAAAAAAAAAGAGAAACCGAGCGAAAAAACAAAAGAAACCAACACAGUAGGUGACAUUGACUCUGAACCAAAAACCACUUGUUUCCCAUGUUUGUUUGAAUAGCCACGCCUUAACCCAAGCCAAG